AGUGAACGCUGGCGGUAGGCCUAACACAUGCAAGUCGAACGGCAGCACAGUAAGAGCUUGCUCUUACGGGUGGCGAGUGGCGGACGGGUGAGGAAUACAUCGGAAUCUACUUUUUCGUGGGGGAUAUCGUAGGGAAACUUACGCUAAUACCGCAUACGACCUACGGGUGAAAGCAGGGGAUCUUCGGACCUUGCGCGAUUGAAUGAGCCGAUGUCGGAUUAGCUAGUUGGCGGGGUAAAGGCCCACCAAGGCGACGAUCCGUAGCUGGUCUGAGAGGAUGAUCAGCCACACUGGAACUGAGACACGGUCCAGACUCCUACGGGAGGCAGCAGUGGGGAAUAUUGGACAAUGGGCGCAAGCCUGAUCCAGCCAUACCGCGUGGGUGAAGAAGGCCUUCGGGUUGUAAAGCCCUUUUGUUGGGAAAGAAAAGCAGCAGGUUAAUACCCCGCUGUUCUGACGGUACCCAAAGAAUAAGCACCGGCUAACUUCGU
rnacentral:rRNA from 1 species